UGCCAGCCGCCGCGGUAAUACGGAGGGUGCAAACGUUGCUCGGAAUCAUUGGGCGUAAAGCGCACGUAGGCGGUUUCGUAAGUCGGAUGUGAAAGCCCUAGGCUCAACCAAGGAAGUGCAUUCGAAACUGCGAGACUUGAGUACGGGAGAGGAUUGCGGAAUUCCAAGUGUAGAGGUGAAAUUCGUAGAUAUUUGGAGGAACACCAGUGGCGAAGGCGGCUCACUGGCUCGAUACUGACGCUGAGGUACGAAAGUGUGGGGAGCAAACAGGAUUAGAUA
rnacentral:rRNA from 1 species